AUUGAACGCUGGCGGAAUGCUUUACACAUGCAAGUCGAACGGCAGCACGGGUGCUUGCACCUGGUGGCGAGUGGCGAACGGGUGAGUAAUAUAUCGGAACGUAUCCAAUAAUGGGGGAUAACUAAUCGAAAGGUUGGCUAAUACCGCAUACGCCCUACGGGGGAAAGCUAGGGACCUUCGGGCCUGGCGUUAAUGGAGCGGCCGAUAUCUGAUUAGCUAGUUGGGGGGGUAAUGGCCUACCAAGGCGACGAUCAGUAGCUGGUCUGAGAGGACGACCAGCCACACUGGAACUGAGACACGGUCCAAACUCCUACGGGAGGCAGCAGUGGGGAAUUUUGGACAAUGGGCGCAAGCCUGAUCCAGCCAUUCCGCGUGAGUGAAGAAGGCCUUCGGGUUGUAAAGCUCUUUCGCAAGGGAAGAAAACUUAUCCUCUAACAUAGGAUGAGGUUGACGGUACCUUGAUAAGAAGCACCGGCUAACUACGUGCCAGCAGCCGCAGUAACAC
rnacentral:rRNA from 1 species